AUUAUAGAACGUGGGGAGCAUGAGAAAUACACGGAGGUGGAAACGCCGGAGUGGCUGGCGGGUAAAGGCAGCGGGCGCAGAUGAAGCGGGCUGGGCGUCCCACGCGCAGAACCGUCCCGGACAGAAGCCGCAGGGCUGCGCUGGCUGGAAAAAGGAACGCGAGUACAGCGCGCGUGGCGCGGGGUCUGCUCCAGGACGGAAUCUUUUGGGUGGCCCGCAUGAGGGGUUUGCAGGACCCCGGGCCUUUGGGAAGUUAUCUGCUAAACUCCAGUAGACCCUGAGGAGCAGCGGCUCAUGAAUCUUCUUAAACUUCUGUCAUCAGCGGCUGGGCCAGCUGAAGGUGACCAUGGCACACGAGGGAGAGAGAAGCCCGCGAGAGGCGGAGAAAUGUGGGGUCGUCCAGGAGGGUCGACAAGGCAAAGAACCUGAAGACGACCCAAAAGGAGUUGAACUUCCUCUCUUUUUAGAAGAAUGGAUUUCUCGGAGUCUGAAAAAUUUAUGGUUCUUCUCUGGAAGAAUUUUAUUUUAAAGAGGCGGCGAUGUAUUGCUUUAGUUGUGGAAAUGGUCCUCACAUUUCUGUUUAGUGCUGCGCUUUUGGCAACACGCUCUGUUAUUACUAUAAAUAAGAACGGACCUUUCGAUUUUGCUGCUCAGCCUGUCGAUGAAGUGCCUUUCUACAUCACAGCUUCCUUAAUUUCUCCUUCUCCUUUGGAAUUGGCUUACGUGCCUUCCAGAAGUACUGUGGUUCAGGGUAUUAUUGAAAGAGUGAAAAUGGAUUUAAACCCUCAAAUGAAAGGUUGAACCUGCACCAGUCAUCCAAAGCAGUGACCCAACGCUUAUCUUUAUCUUUUUGCUGUUUUAUGCCAUCGCCACAAUAUGCUUCAGCUUUAUGGUUAGCACUUUCUUCAGUAGAGAGCCGAUGAUGAGCACCCCACCUCCUGCCAGAGAGCUCCUGCAGCCACAGCCGCAGCCGCAGGCCCUGCACUACGCGCUGGCCAACGUGCAGCAGGUGCAGAUCCACCAGAUCGGAGAAGACGGACAGGUGCAAGUAGGACACCUCCACAUCGCCAAGGUGCCGCAGGGGGAGCAAGUCCAGAUCACGCAGGACAGCGAGGGCAACCUCCAGAUCCAUCACGUGGGGCAGGAUGGU
rnacentral:lncRNA from 1 species